rnacentral:rRNA from 1 species
GACGAACGCUGGCGGCGUGCCUAAUACAUGCAAGUUGAGCGCUGAAGGUUGGUACUUGUACCAACUGGAUGAGCAGCGAACGGGUGAGUAACGCGUGGGGAAUCUGCCUUUGAGCGGGGGACAACAUUUGGAAACGAAUGCUAAUACCGCAUAAAAACUUUAAACACAAGUUUUAAGUUUGAAAGAUGCAAUUGCAUCACUCAAAGAUGAUCCCGCGUUGUAUUAGCUAGUUGGUGAGGUAAAGGCUCACCAAGGCGAUGAUACAUAGCCGACCUGAGAGGGUGAGCGGCCACAUUGGGACGGAGACACGGCCCAAACGCCUACGGGAGGCAGCAGUAGGGAAUCGUCGGCAAUGGACGAAAGUCUGACCGAGCAACGCCGCGGGAGUGAAGAAGGUUUUCGGAUCGUAAAACUCUGUUGGUAGAGAAGAACGUUGGUGAGAGUGGAAAGCUCAUCAAGUGACGGUAACUACUCAGAAAGGGACGGCUAACUACGUG